rnacentral:rRNA from 1 species
GUAGGGUGCGAGCGUUAAUCGGAAUUACUGGGCGUAAAGCGAGCGCAGACGGUUAUUUAAGUCAGGUGUGAAAUCCCCGAGCUCAACUUGGGAAUGGCGCUUGAAACUGGGUAACUAGAGUGUGUCAGAGGGGGGUAGAAUUCCACGUGUAGCAGUGAAAUGCGUAGAGAUGUGGAGGAAUACCGAUGGCGAAGGCAGCCCCCUGGGAUAACACUGACGUUCAUGCUCGAAAGCGUGGGUAGCAAAC